rnacentral:pre_miRNA from 1 species
CAUUCCUGCCCAUCACGAGCUCACAGUCUAGAGGGAGAUCCAAACUCUUAUCAUAUCCCUCUAGACUGUAUGUAAGCUUGUAUUGGGCAGGAACA